rnacentral:rRNA from 1 species
CACGUAGGGUGCGAGCGUUGUCCGGAAUUAUUGGGCGUAAAGAGCUCGUAGGCGGUGUGUCGCGUCGGCCGUGAAAACCUGCAGCUUAACUGUGGGCUUGCGGUCGAUACGGGCAGGCUGGAGUUCGGUAGGGGAGACUGGAAUUCCUGGUGUAGCGGUGAAAUGCGCAGAUAUCAGGAGGAACACCGGUGGCGAAGGCGGGUCUCUGGGCCGAUACUGACGCUGAGGUGCGAAAGCGUGGGGAGCAAACAGG